rnacentral:rRNA from 1 species
ACUCAAAGGAAUUGACGGGGACCCGCACAAGCGGUGGAACAUGUGGUUUAAUUCGAUGCUACGCGAAGAACCUCACCUGGGCUUGACAUGCUCGUCAUAUCCCUAUGAAAGUAGGGAGUCGGUUCGGCCGGACGAUGCACAGGUGCUGCAUGGCUGUCGUCAGCUCGUGUCGUGAGAUGUUGGGUUAAGUCCCGCAACGAGCGCAACCAUUGCCCCAUGUUGCUAUUGGGCGCUUCAACUUCGGUUGAUUGCCUAAGCACUCUUGGGGGACUGCCCGGGAUAACCGGGAGGAAGGUGGAGAUGACGUCAAGUCAGUACGGCCCUUAUGCCCAGGGCUACACACGUGUUACAAUGGACGGUACAAAGGGUUGCCAACCUGCGAAGGGGAGCUAAUCUCAAAAAGCCGUCCUCAGUUCGGAUAGCAGUCUGCAACUCGACUGCUUGAAGCCGGAAUCGCUAGUAAUGGAAGAUCAGCUCGCUUCCGUGAAUACGUUCCCGGGUCUUGUACACACCGCCCGU